UCCUUCUCGCGCACUCACUAACGCAUCAUUUCCGGGUCAGGUGUUUGCCUGUGCAGAGCAGCGACCGAGUGCCCCGUGCUUUGUGCUCCAUGCUCCGUUUAGACCUUGGUUCUCUCUGGCGGUGGUAGAUGUCCGCUGCCGUGUGGGUCUCUCUCUCCCUCCCUCUCCCUGUGCAGGUUUGACUUUGAAAACAGGUAUGCUACCUUAAAUCUAACUCUCAAAAGCUUUGAUUAAUGUAGUUUAGCUAUGCUAAUGGUAUGUUUAUUGACAGGGAAUGCUCGUCAGCUGGCCGAAAUCUACAGGUGGCGAUUCACGUGCCUUCACCACCAGCUGAUUGGGACCGCUGCUGUUUUGUCUCUGUUUUGUCUCUGCCUUGUCGCUGCUUUGUCAGUGUUUUGUCUCUGCUUUGUCUACACUGAUUUAUUUACAUUGCUUUGUCCGCACCGCUUUGCCUCUGCCGUUAAACACACGGUUGCUGUGUUUAUACCGCUUUGUCGACUAUAUGUCUGCUGUUGUGCCCCUACUGCUAGCUGCAUAGCUGUGUCUCUGCUGCUGUAUGGACAUUGUCCCCUGCUUUGCCUCUGCAGUCACUUAUUCCUUGCUGCCGUGUUCUGCGGCUCUGGCUGCUUGGUGGCUUCUGGCUACAGCCGGCUUGCAUGGUGAACUGCAGACACCAUACUUUUAAUCUGUUUAUCUCUUUUUAUUUUAGCUGAACGAUGGUGAGGAGUUAAUCCCUUAUUUUUGUAUUACUUGUUUUGUUUAUUGUUUUGAUUAACUAGCUUGGUAAGCUUAUUUGGUUAACUAUUUCCUGCUUUAUGUUGUAUAUUGUUUUUAUUAUAUUAUUUAUAUUUUGUGUUAAUUACUUCCAUUGUAACUUUUGUUUUCCCUUCUCAGUGGCUGCAGGCUGGUGGUGGUGUCCCUCCUUCUUGUGUGCUGUGCUUCCUUGGAUUCGGUGAUACCACAGUGUGUGACUGCCACGUGUGUCUGGGUGAACCCUUUUUCUUUAAUUUAAUUUUGUUGAGUCCCCUUCACCUGCUCUUUCCCCACCAGUAGGCCUCAGCCCCUGAUUAGGCUCCCUUUUUCAUUUAUUGGGAUGAAUGCUAUUUUUUAUAAUGAUAGAGAUAGAUAUAGAGAUAGAUAUAGAGAUAGAUAUAGAUAGAUAUAGAUAGAUAGAGAUAGAGAUAGAGAUAGAUAGAGAUAGAUAGAGAUAGAUAGAGAUAGAUAGAGAUAGAGAUAGAGAUAGAUAUAGAUAGAGAGAGAGAGAUAGAGAGAUAGAGAUAUAGAGAGAGAGAUAGAGAGAGAGAGAGAGAGAGAGAGAGAGAGAGAGAUAGAGAGAGAUAGAUAGAUAUAAAAAAAAAAGUAUUUUUGUAAACUGUCUUGCCUGUCAAGUGGAACGAACCUGUGUUUUUGGUCAGUGUAAAAUAAUUCCUUGGGUGCAAUUCCCAAGGUGGCGUUGUCGUGCAACCUAAGAUUCCCAUUGAGAGCUCCACAUUUUCUUGCAACCCCCGCCACACUAGCUAGCUAGAGCUAGCACACAUAAACAAAUUAACCAAAGCUAGCGCUUAGCUACAUGCUAAUCGCUCCUGAAGGAGUGCUAAUGUAAAUUAAGGAACAGCUCAUAGUAGGGUAAAAUAUUUAAGAUGCAUUGCACUUAUUUUGUGUUAAUAUUAAAAUCAUUCAGCUUUAAAUUGUUUGUUUGUUCGCCACCGUAUAAUUAUCUUUAGCUAGCCAGUAGCUAACACUAGCUUAUUAAUGCCUUAAAGGGAAACUUUGGCAUGUUGUUGUCACAUAAGGGCCCUGAUCAUGUUGCACAGACAUUUUAAUGCAUUUUGUGUCUGUUAAGAGGAGCAGAAGGCACUCUUUAGGAUAUGCCCCCCAAGAAGUGUAUUAUAACUAACUGGGAGCUCUGGCCAUUAGCUGCAGGAACUCCAGUUUGCUAGCACCAGUUUUGGUCGUUGUUUUUCCUAUCGACAGUACUCGGUGACCUCUAGUGAUCAAGAGUAGGGUAAAAAUCUGCUCCCCUUCAAUACUCCUCUGUGCUCUCUAGCUAGCUGUGUGUGUGUGUGUGUGUGUGUGUGUGUGUGUGUGUGUGUGUGUGUGUGUGUGUGUGUGUGUGUGUGUGUGUGUGUGUGUGUGUGUGUGUGUGUGUGUGUGUGUGAGAGCAGGCUUUGGUUGUCAUGGCAAUCAGGGGAGCCCACAGCAGCUGCGCUCUCUCUCUGUCUCUAACUCCUCAGAGAGACAGAAACAUUUAAAAUGAAUCCCCUCGAACCCAUGGCCAGGAACGACCGAAAUGAAAACCGAAAAGACCGUGAGCGUCGUCAUCUUGUUGACUAUAGGACUGCCGAGUUUCAGUGGCCAAAGUUAAAAAAUGUGACCUGGGGAGAUUGAGAGAGAAGAGGUUCAACAAGCUCCUUUCAAGAUUUCUUCUCUAAAAUUAACAUGGGAGUAGAUGGGGCCGUGAGAGGGUGUUGUUGGUGCAUCAGUGCGUCUCCCGCCAAAACUAUUUGUCUGACAGCUUCAGCCGUGGUAUUUUUAUUAUAUACAUUAUUUAUUGUAUUGGUAUUUUAUUCCCAACAGAUUUACCAACGUUUCUAUCUAUAAAUUAUUUCUGUAGAGAAAUACAUUUGUGGCCUUGAGAGGAGUUUACAAAUUUUUCUCUCUCCCUACACUCCAGCCUUUAGGAAGUCAGGUUGUUGUACCAUAAACAGUCAAAGUGAAUGUUUAGGAAGGAGGUUGUGAAGAAUGAAUGAGUUCAAAGUCAGUAUCAUAUCUGUCCUUAUGAUCCUUACUGCCUGAAGUCAAACAGCAGAAGUUCAGUAACAAUGUGUGAAUAUUACUGAGCCCUUUUUGGAUGAGUUAAAUAUGCUACAGUAAUCUUAUAUGUUACUGUUUAUA